GACGAACGCUGGCGGCGUGCUUAACACAUGCAAGUCGAACGGGAAGGCCCUGCUUUUGUGGGGUGCUCGAGUGGCGAACGGGUGAGUAACACGUGAGUAACCUGCCCUUGACUUUGGGAUAACUUCAGGAAACUGGGGCUAAUACCGGAUAGGAGCUCCUGCUGCAUGGUGGGGGUUGGAAAGUUUCGGCGGUUGGGGAUGGACUCGCGGCUUAUCAGCUUGUUGGUGGGGUAGUGGCUUACCAAGGCUUUGACGGGUAGCCGGCCUGAGAGGGUGACCGGCCACAUUGGGACUGAGAUACGGCCCAGACUCCUACGGGAGGCAGCAGUGGGGAAUAUUGCACAAUGGGCGGAAGCCUGAUGCAGCAACGCCGCGUGCGGGAUGACGGCCUUCGGGUUGCAAACCGCUUUCGCCUGUGACGAAGCGUGAGUGACGGUAAUGGGUAAAGAAGCACCGGCUAACUACGUG
rnacentral:rRNA from 1 species